UACGGGGGGGGGCAAGCGUUGUUCGGAAUUACUGGGCGUAAAGGGCUCGUAGGUGGCCAACUAAGUCGGACGUGAAAUCCCUCGGCUUAACCGGGGAACUGCGUCCGAUACUGGUUGGCUUGAGUUUGGGAGAGGGAUGCGGAAUUCCAGGUGUAGCGGUGAAAUGCGUAGAUAUCAGGAGGAACACCGGUGGCGAAGGCGGGUCUCUGGGCAGUAACUGACGCUGAGGAGCGAAAGCGUGGGGAGCAAACCGG
rnacentral:rRNA from 1 species